GGGGCCGUAGCCCAAUGGCAGAGGCACAGCUUUUAGGUAGCUGACAGUGUGGGUUCGAAUCCCACCGGCCCCA
rnacentral:tRNA from 1 species